rnacentral:rRNA from 1 species
UGCUAAUACCGCAUGAGCCGAGAGGUAAAAGAUUUAUUGUCUAAGGAUGAACUCGCGUCUGAUUAGCUAGUUGGUGAGGUAAGGGCUCACCAAGGCGACGAUCAGUAGCUGGUCUAAGAGGAUGAUCAGCCNCACUGGGACUGAGACACGGCCCAGACUCCUACGGGAGGCAGCAGUGAGGAAUAUUGCACAAUGGGCGCAAGCCUGAUGCAGCAACGCCGCGUGGGUGAAGAAGGUUUUCGGAUCGUAAAGCCCUUUUCUGUGUGACGAGGAAGGACGGUAGCACAGGAAUAAG